rnacentral:tRNA from 1 species
UGCGGGGAGCAUGUUGGUAUUGCGAACCAGUCUCAUAAGCUGUGUUUUCGAGGGUUCAAUUCCCUCCUCCGCAACCA